rnacentral:rRNA from 1 species
AUUGAACGCUGGCGGCAUGCUUUACGCAUGCAAGUCGAACGGCAGCACGGGUGCAACCCUCGUGGCGCGUGGGGAACGGGUGAGUGAUACACCUGAGCAUGCCCCCUCGAGGGGGGUGACGUCCCGCGAAUUCCGCUUAUAUCCCAUACGCUCUGAGCAUGAGAGCGGGGGACCUUCGCGCCCCUCGCGCUCGGGGGGUCCGAUGUGAGAUUAUCUAGUUGGUGGGGUAAAGGCCUACCAAGCCGACGAUCUGUAGCUGGUCUGAGAGGACGACCAGCCACACUGGGACUGAGACACGGCCCAGACUCCUACGGGAGGCAGCAGUGGGGAAUUUUGGACAAUGGGCGCAAGCCUGAUCCAGCAAUGCCGCGUGUAGGACGAAGGCCUUCGGGUUGUAAAGUGCUUUUGUAUGGAAAGAAAAGGUUGGGGCUAAUACGGGGGGCGGAUGACGGUACCGGAAGAAUAAGCACCGGCUAACUACGUG